AGGAUAAACGCUGGCGGCGUGCCUAACACAUGCAAGUCGAACGCCCUACGCAAGUAGGGAGUGGCGGACGGGUGAGGAACACGUGGGUAAUCUGCCCUUCGGUGAGGAAUACCGGCGAGAAAUCGCCGACAAUACCGCAUACGUUUCACGGAAGUGAAAGAAAGUCGUAAGACGCCGAGGGAUGAGCCUGCGCCCGAUUAGUUUGUUGGUGGGGUAAAAGCCUACCAAGACUACAAUCGGUAGCUGGUCUGAGAGGACGAUCAGCCACACUGGGAUUGAGAACGGCCCAGACUCCUACGGGGGGCAGCAGUGAGGAAUUUCGUCAAUGGGGGCAACCCUGAACGAGCAACGCCGCGUGCAGGAAGAAGGUUUUCGGAUCGUAAACUGCUUUUCUGUGGGAAGAGAACGGACGGUACCACAGGAAGAAGCCCCGGCUAACUACGUGCCAGCAGCCGC
rnacentral:rRNA from 1 species